GGUUAAGACUAUGAUCAAGAAAGUUUUCACUGAUUACUUGGACACAUUUUAUGUAAAAAGCUGUCAUAUUUUAAUUUAAAUAAAUGCAUUUUUUGGACUUUCUUGGCAAACAUACAUUCUAUAAAUAUAAAAAUCAUAAUGAAUCUUUACUUCAAAGGGUGUUUCCAGACUUUGACUGGGGGAGCACAAGUGGGGAGUAUGUGUCUCAGCUUUCAGUUAUAACUAUAAUAUAUAUAUAUAUAUAUAUAUAUAUAUAUAUAAAUAUAAUUUGCCUUCAUUAUCGACAGAGGCAAACAUUGUGCUUAUGUAAAAACAGGAUAAUGAGGUUGGUUUUAUUGUACAGUGUCUUCAUUCAGCUGGAGACGACACACACACACAUGCGGGCCGGUGGUGGCGGGUCCUUGACGAGAGGAAACCAUGAACUCUGGGAGGAGCAGGUUCCCACACCCAGAAGAAGGGACGCACAACGCUCUAACACAAACAGUCCGCCACUCAGGAAGGAAAGGGCUCUCUUUGGGCCUUUAUCAGAUCUGCGAGAUCCUCGGCCCCGUCCGUCACCCGCUGCUGUCCGAGAGGCGGAUGAGGAAUGGCAACAAACUGAUUGA
rnacentral:lncRNA from 1 species